rnacentral:rRNA from 1 species
GUGAAAUCCAACAGCUUAACUGUUGAACUGCCUUUGAUACUGUUAGUCUUGAAUUAUAUGGAAGUAGAUAGAAUGUGUAGUGUAGCGGUGAAAUGCUUAGAGAUUACACAGAAUACCGAUUGCGAAGGCAGUCUACUACGUAUAUAUUGACGCUAAUGGACGAAAGCGUGGGGAGCGAACAGGAUUAGAUACCCUGGUAGUCCACGCCGUAAACGAUGGACACUAGUUGUUGGAUUUAUUCAGUGACUAAGCGAAAGUGAUAAGUGUCCCACCUGGGGAGUACGAACGCAAGUUUGAAACUCAAAGGAAUUGACGGGGGCCCGCACAAGCGGUGGAGCAUGUGGUUUAAUUCGAUGAUACGCGAGGAACCUUACCAGGGCUUAAAUGUAGGUUGCAUUAGCUAGAGAUAGUUAUUUCUUCGGACUACUUACAAGGUGCUGCAUGGUUGUCGUCAGCUCGUGCCGUGAGGUGUCAGGUUAAGUCCUAUAACGAGCGCAACCCCUGUCGUUAGUUGCCAGCAAGUAAAGUUGGGGACUCUAACGAGACUGCCGGUGCAAACCGCGAGGAAGGUGGGGAUGACGUCAAAUCAUCACGGCCCUUACGUCCUGGGCUACACACGUGCUACAAUGGUAUGGACAGAGAGCAGCCACUGAGUGAUCAGGAGCGAAUCUACAAACCAUAUCACAGUUCGGAUCGGAGUCUGCAACUCGACUCCGUGAAGC